AACGAACGUUAGCGGCGCGCCUAACACAUGCAAGUCGAGCGAGAAAGGGGCAACCCCGGUAAAGCGGCGCACGGGUGAGUAACACGUAGGUAAUCUACCCUCGGGUGGAGGAUAACCUUCCGAAAGGAGGGCUAAUACUGCAUGAGACCACGACCUCGAAAGGGGAUGGGAUCAAAGCCGGCCACUGUACACAAGCUGGCGCCUGAGGAUGAACCUGC
rnacentral:rRNA from 1 species